GAUUAACGCUGGCGGCGUGCCUAAUACAUGCAAGUCGAACGGAAACCUUCGGGUUUUAGUGGCGAACGGGUGAGUAACACGUAAGCAACCUACCCUAAAGACGAGGAUAACCAUUGGAAACAGUGGCUAAGACUGGAUAGGAAGAUAAAAGGCAUCUUUUAUCUUUUAAAAGACCUAGUAAUAGGUAUGCUUUAGGAGGGGCUUGCGCCAUAUUAGUUAGUUGGUAGGGUAAUGGCCUACCAAGACGAUGAUGUGUAGCUGGACUGAGAGGUUGAACAGCCACAUUGGGACUGAGACACGGCCCAAACUCCUACGGGAGGCAGCAGUAGGGAAUUUUCGGCAAUGGAGGAAACUCUGACCGAGCAACGCCGCGUGAAUGACGAAGUACUUCGGUAUGUAAAGUUCUUUUAUCAAGGAAGAAAAGCAAAUGGCGAACCAUUUGUUUGCCGGUACUUGAUGAAUAAGCCCCGGCUAAUUAUGUGCCAGCAGCCGCGGUAAGACAUAAGGGGCAAGUGUUAUCCGGAAUUAUUGGGCGUAAAGGGUGCGUAGGCGGUCUAGUAAGUCAGUGGUGUAAUGGCAACGCUUAACGUUGUCCGGCUAUUGAAACUGCUAAACUUGAGUUAGAUAGAGGCGAGUGGAAUUCCAUGUGUAGCGGUAAAAUGCGUAAAUAUAUGGAGGAACACCAGAGGCGUAGGCGGCUCGCUGGGUCUUAACUGACGCUGAGGCACGAAAGCGUGGGGAGCAAACAGGAUUAGAUACCCUGGUAGUCCACGCCGUAAACGAUGAGUACUAAGUGUCGGGUUAAACCGGUACUGAAGUUAACACAUUAAGUACUCCGCCUGAGUAGUACGUACGCAAGUAUGAAACUUAAAGGAAUUGACGGGACUCCGCACAAGCGGUGGAUCAUGUUGUUUAAUUCGAAGAUACCCGAAAAACCUUACCAGGUCUUGACAUGUUUUUGCAAAAUGAUAGUAAUAUCGUGGAGGUUACCAGAAACACAGGUGGUGCAUGGUUGUCGUCAGCUCGUGUCGUGAGAUGUUAGGUUAAGUCCUAAAACGAGCGAAACCCUUAUCGUUAGUUGCCAGCACGUUAUGGUGGGGACUUUAACGAGACUGCCAAUGAUAAAUUGGAGGAAGGUGAGGAUCACGUCAAAUCAGCAUGCCCCUUAUGACCUGGGCUACAAACGUGAUACAAUGGCUGUUACAAAGGGUAGCUGAAACGCAAGUUCUUGGCCAAUCCCCAAAAACAGUCCCAGUCCGGAUUGAAGUCUGCAACUCGACUUCAUGAAGUUGGAAUCGCUAGUAAUCGCGAAUCAGCAUGUCGCGGUGAAUACGUUCUCGGGGUUUGUACACACCGCCCGUCAAACCACGAAAGUUGGCAAUACCCCAAAACGGUAGCCUAACUCGUUUAUUCGAGAGGGCGCCGUCUAAGGUAGGGUCGAUGAUUGGGGUU
rnacentral:rRNA from 2 species